CGUGUAGGUGGUCGGGUAAGCCAGAUGUGAAAGCCUUCUGCUUAACAGAAGAAGUGCAUUUGAAACUGCUCGGCUAGAGUACGGGAGAGGAGAGUGGAAUUCCCGGUGUAGAGGUGAAAUUCGUAGAUAUCGGGAGGAACACCAGUGGCGAAGGCGGCUCUCUGGUCCGAUACUGACGCUGAGACGCGAAAGCGUGGGAGCAAACAGGAUUAGAUACCCUGGUAGUCCACGCCGUAAACGAUGGGCACUAGGUGUAGGAGGUAUUGACCCCUUCUGUGCCGAAGCUAACGCAUUAAGUGCCCCGCCUGGGAGUACGGCCGCAAGGCUAAA
rnacentral:rRNA from 1 species